rnacentral:lncRNA from 12 species
CUCUUCUUCAGCUGAAGGACCAUGCAGAGCACCAGGCCAGGAAGCAGCGAGCUGGAGUUCAUCACAUUCUCCCCCCUCGCUCACUUUAGUAACCUUGAUUUGGGCACAGUUAGCAAGCCAACCAGAGACUUGCAUCAUCUGACAGGGGGAUCUAUGCCAAAUACCUGGGAUAGAAGAUGCAUGAGGAAGCAGAGGAGAAGGACAGAUGAUGAAAGCUGCGGUCCUAAACGGCGAAAGCUGAUGGGAGAAGAAGGAGCAGAUGAGUAUCCAAGUCCUAAAGUGAGCCAAAGAUGGUCUGUGGACUCUACCACCACUUCCCCUCCUGAGACCAACCCGGUUCAGCUUCAGACUGAACCCAGAACAGAGGAGAUGGGUCUGCCCUUCACAUCCACUCCCUCUCCACUACCCAGAGUUCCCACAGAAGGCUCAGGCAUGGAGGUAGAGGCCACUCAGAGGAGACUGCAAGAGAUAGAAGACAGGAUAACUUUGAAGGAUGAUAGCGAUGAAGAAGAGCUUGAUGUGGAACCGGCUCAGCGCAGACCAGUGCUGGUGAUGUCCGACAGCUUAAGGGAGGGGCUACAACGUGGGAUUGGUGACAUUCUACCCCAUACGGUAGCACAGUCAGUCUUAAAGCUGUGCUCCUCUCUCAGUGAACAGAGCUCCUGA